rnacentral:lncRNA from 1 species
GUGACAGCCAUGUGAUAGGUGUGAGGGAUAGCCCACGCCAUGGCACUAGGGGUAAGCGUGACAGCCAUGUGAUAGGUGUCAGGGAUAGUCCACGCAUGGCACUAGGGGUAAGUGUGACAGCCAUGUGACAGCCCACGCCAUGGCACUAGGGGUAAGUGUGACAGCCAUGUGACAGGUGUCAUGGAUAGCUCACGGGGAUAGCCCACGCCAUGGCACUAGGGGUAAGUGUGACUGCCAUGUGACAGGUGUCAGGGAUAGCCCACGCCAUGGCACUAGGGGUAAGUGUGACAGCCAUGUGACAGCCAUGUGACAGGUGUCAGGCAUAGCCAACGCCAUGGCACUAGGGGUAAGUGUGACAGCCAUGUGACAGGUGUCAGGGAUAGCCCACGCCAUGGCACUAGGGGUAAGUGUGACAGCCAUGUGACAGGUGUCAGGGAUAGCUCACGGGGAUAGCUCAUGCCAUGGCACUAGGGGUCAGUGUGACAAACAUGUGACAGCUAUGUGACAGGUGUUAGGGAUAGCUCACGCCAUGGCACUAGAGGUAAGUGUGACAGCCAUGUGACAGGUGUUAGGGAUAGCUCACGCCAUGGCACUAGGGGUCAGUGUGACAGCCAUGUGAUAGGUGUCAGGGAUAGCCCACACCAUGGCACUAGGGGUAAGUGUGACAGCCAUGUGGCAGGUGUCAGGGAUAGUCCAUGCCGUGGCACUAGGGGUCAGUGUGACAGCCAUGUGACAGGUGUUAGGGAAAGCCCACGCUGUGGCACUAGGGGUAAGUGUGACAGCCAUGUGACAGGUGUUAGGGAUAGUCCACGCCAUGGCACUAGGGGUCAGUGUGACAGCCAUGUGACAGGUGUUAGGGAUAGCCCACGCCAUGGCGCUAGGGGUAAGGAUGACAGCCAUGUGACAGGUGUUAGGGAUAGCCCACGCUGUGGCACUAGGGGUCAGUGUGACAGGUGUUAGGGAUAGCCCACAUCAUGGCACAAGGGGUAAGUGUGACAGCCAUGUGACAGGUGUUAGGGAUAGCCCACACCAUGGCACUAGGGGUAAGUGUGACAGCCAUGUGACAGCCAUGUGACAGGUGUUAGGGAUAGCCCACGCCAUGGCACUAGGGGUAAGUGUGACAGCCAUGUGACAGCCAUGUGACAGGUGUUAGGGAUAGCCCACACCAUGUCACUAGGGGUAAGUGUGACAGCCAUGUGACAGGUGUUAGGGAUAGCCCACGCCAUGGCACUAGGGGUAAGUGUGACAGCCAUGUGACAGGUGUCAGGGAUAGCCCACGCCAUGGCACUAGGGGUAAGUGUGACAGCCAUGUGACAGGUGUUAGGGAUAGCCCACACCAUGGCACUAGGGGUAAGUGUGACAGCAAUGUGACAGGUGUUAGGGAUAGCCCACGCCGUGGCACUAGGGGUCAGUGUGACAGGUGUUAGGGAUAGCCCACGCCAUGGCACUAGGGGUCAGUGUGACAGCCAUGUGACAGGUGUUAGGGAUAGCCCACGCCAUGGCACUAGGGGUCAGUGUGACAGCCAUGUGACAGGUGUCAGGGAUAGCCCACGCCAUGGCACUAGGGGUAAGUGUGACAGCCAUGUGACAGGUGUCAGGG